rnacentral:rRNA from 1 species
UAGGGAAUCUUCCGCAAUGGACGCAAGUCUGACGGAGCAACGCCGCGUGAGUGAAGAAGGAUUUCGGUUCGUAAAACUCUGUUGUUAGAGAAGAACAGCGCAUAGAGUAACUGUUAUGCGUGUGACGGUAUCUAACCAGAAAGCCACGGCUAACUACGUGCCAGCAGCCGCGGUAAUACGUAGGUGGCAAGCGUUGUCCGGAUUUAUUGGGCGUAAAGCGAGCGCAGGCGGUAAAUUAAGUCUGAUGUGAAAGCCCCCGGCUCAACCGGGGAGGGUCAAUGGAAACUGGUUGACUUGCGUGCAGAAGAGGAGAGUGGAAUUCCAUGUGUAGCGGUGAAAUGCGUAGGUAUAUGGUAGAACACCAGUAGCGAAGGCGACUCUCUGGUCUGUAACUGACGCUGAGGUUCGAAAGCGUGUGUAGCAAACAGG